rnacentral:rRNA from 1 species
CAGAGGGGGCAAGCGUUGUUCGGAAUUACUGGGCGUAAAGGGCGCGUAGGCGGCCUGUUAAGUCGAACGUGAAAUCCCCGGGCUCAACCCGGGAACUGCGUCCGAUACUGGCAGGCUUGAAUCCGGGAGAGGGAUGUGGAAUUCCAGGUGUAGCGGUGAAAUGCGUAGAUAUCUGGAGGAACACCGGUGGCGAAGGCGGCAUCCUGGACCGGUAUUGACGCUGAGGCGCGAAAGCCAGGGGAGCAAACGGGAUUAGAUACCCCGGUAGUCCUGGCCCUAAACGAUGAAUGCUUGGUGUGGCGGGUAUCGAUCCCUGCCGUGCCGAAGCUAACGCAUUAAGCAUUCCGCCUGGGGAGUACGGUCGCAAGGCUG